AACGAACGCUGGCGGCGUGCUUAACACAUGCAAGUCGAGCGCGAAAGGGGCUUCGGCCCCCUUAAAGCGGCAGACGGGUGAGUAACACGUGGAUAACCUACCCCAGAGCGGGGGAUAACUACUCGAAAGGGUGGCUGAUACCGCAUAAGACCACGUCUUUUCGGAGAUGAGGUAAAAGGCUUCGGCCACUUUGGGAGGGGUCCGCGGCUGAUUAGCUAGUUGGUGAGGUAAAGGCUCACCAAGGCGACGAUCAGUAGCUGGUCUGAGAGGAUGAUCAGCCACACUGGAACUGAGAUACGGUCCAGACUCCUACGGGAGGCAGCAGUGAGGAAUAUUGCGCAAUGGGCGAAAGCCUGACGCAGCGACGCCGCGUGGAGGAUGAAGGUCUUCGGAUUGUAAACUUCUGUUAAGUGGGAAGAAAGAGCUGCUUUUAAUAGAGGCAGUUAAUGACGGUACCAUUAAAGAAAGCACCGGCUAAACUCGUGCCAGCCGCCGCCGUAACAC
rnacentral:rRNA from 1 species